UUAAUUGAAACCAAAAAGAGGUAUAUUACUGUUAAUAAUAAAAAUGGUCUAUUAACCCAAUUAAA
rnacentral:tRNA from 1 species